rnacentral:rRNA from 2 species
AACGCUGGCGGCGUGCCUAAUACAUGCAAGUCGAACGAGCUCUCCCAAAUUGAUUUUAUGCUUGCAUAAAUGAUUUUUGGAUUCGGAGCGAGUGGCGAACUGGUGAGUAACACGUGGGUAACCUGCCCCGAAGCGGGGGAUAACAUUUGGAAACAAGUGCUAAUACCGCAUAAUUAGUUGGAACCGCAUGGUUCCAACUUGAAAGAUGGCUCUGCUAUCACUUUGGGAUGGACCCGCGCCGUAUUAGUUAGUUGGUGAGAUAAAAGCCCACCAAGACGAUGAUACGUAGCCGACCUGAGAGGGUAAUCGGCCACAUUGGGACUGAGACACGGCCCAGACUCCUACGGGAGGCAGCAGUAGGGAAUCUUCCACAAUGGACGAAAGUCUGAUGGAGCAACGCCGCGUGAGUGAUGAAGGUUUUCGGAUCGUAAAACUCUGUUGUUAAAGAAGAACAAGUGUUAGAGUAACUGUUAACACUUUGACGGUAUUUAACCAGAAAGCCACGGCUAACUAC